GUCAGAUGGGGAUUUUUCUCGAAACAUUUCUGGGUAAUGAUUGAUAUUGGUCUAAAAUUGGAAUAAAGACGUCACUCCAGGGUGGAAUAAAAGGAUCAAAUCUCAAAGGAAGUUACCAUUUACCACUAGAAAACCUGAACGAAUAGAGGUGAAAUCUAAUACCUAUAGCGACAGUAUGAACCGUGACUAUUCUUAUGCUGGAGCCUUUGCUGGGAACACAACUGGUGAUGAGAUAACAGAGCGAGAUUUGAAAAAGCGUGUGGUCAGAAUCAUCGCAGAUAUGGUAGAAAAGGUGUUUGAAAAUAUGAGGCAGCACAGCAGCAGUUCAUCUAGUUCAUUUCACCUUGAUGUAGAUUCCGAAGAAUUCAGGGUCAUUCUGCGUCACGCGAAUGAGGCUAGAGCUAUCAAGUUCGUCUCCGGACAAAUGACGGAGCUGAACUUUCCGUCAAUGAGCUCGUUCUGUACGUUUCUUGAUUCUAUCGCGAAUGGUCGGUGGACCGGUGGAGGCGGUGGCGGAUAUUCUGGCCCAAUGAUUGAAAUAAGCCAAUAUCACCCGUUCAAGAUUUGUCAUAAUUCUUACCCAGUUAAUAGUUCAACAGAGGUAACUUAUCAUUUUACAAAAGGUUAGUAAACACUAAGCCGGAGAACAGAACGUUUGAAAUCGGCGGCACUGACGUUUAUCAUUGACGUCCAAAGAGAGACUGCUUUUUGUCAAUUGCUAAAAGAAUUUCACGGCAUAAACUCUAUUUAAUUCAUUUUGAUAAUGUCAGUUGAGUCUAGGCCUGAACGCCUCCCACCCCCCCCCCCCCGCCAUACACAAGUAUGGAACGCAUUUGAUCCCUAAAAUCCUGAUUGCAUGUGUUAUCAACGCUGUGCCUGGUAUAUUAUUGGUAACAGUUAAUUUCAUUUUGAAAGAACUCAAAUAUGAGAGUGUUGGGGUAAAGACAAGAAGCCAUACGACUGACCUUAUUGAAGUGAAAUGAUAGUAUUUUGUAAACUACAGCAUACAACUUCGAAUUGAAAGACAGGGGCCAAUUGUAUACCCUAGUUUCACCGAUAUAAGACCGGUUGACUUGCCACGAAAUCGAAACUAGGGCCAAGCCAGAACACGAAGUUAUGACCACCGGGAAACUUGGUGUAAUCAACCUACUGUCUAUCCAAAUUCAACACGCUGAAUAGCAUCGGAAGACCAUGUGUAUACUACUUAGCUUGACUGAAUUGAAUAUUCAGCACCGGUUUUAGAUCGAUGAAUCUAGAGUAUGUUAGGAAUACAUUUAUAGGGAGAAUAUGUACACUUGAGUAUGUUCAAGUUCGAAAAACGAUGUCUUAGAAUUGAUUCCACUUUACAUCGAAUUGCAAUGAUUUUGUGGUUUUCUGCUGUGUAUUCAUUUUCUGCUGUGUAUUCAUUUCAUGAUGUGUAUAUUCUAUUUUUCUUAAAUGUUAGUUGUGUGUGUCAUGUAAAUGUAUGUAUGUCAUUAGAAUAUCAGCAAUUAAAAUACACUUCUGGUGUUUAUUCGA